ACCUUACCUCUUGCCGCGUUGUCUCGGCGGGAGGCGGUGGGCGUCUCGCGCCCCUAGCGGGCCGUGCCGCUCCCGUCCCCGCCGGCGGCGCCAAACUCUAAAUUUACAGCGGACUGUACGUUCUGAUUUACAAAAAAAACAAGUUAAAACUUUCAACAACGGAUCUCUUGGUUCUGGCAUCGAUGAAGAACGCAGCGAAAUGCGAUAAGUAAUGUGAAUUGCAGAAUUCAGUGAACCAUCGAAUCUUUGAACGCACAUUGCGCCCGGCAGUAAUCUGCCGGGCAUGCCUGUCCGAGCGUCAUUUCUACCCUCGAGCGAGUCCAGCAUCUAGGUGCUGUGCCCGCCCGGCGUUGGAGCACUACGGGAAGCCCUGUGCUGUCCCCCGUAGGCCCCGAAAUGAAGUGGCGGUCCUGCCGCGGCGCCCCCUGCGUAGUAUAACAGCUCGCUUCGGGACCCGGUGGAGGCCUGCCGUCAAACCUAUAUUCU
rnacentral:rRNA from 1 species